rnacentral:lncRNA from 1 species
CUUCACCCGGACUCCUACGGGAGCCGGGUUCCGCCGCCAAGGUAAAACUCCACCCGGACUCCUACGGGAGCCGGGUUCCGCCGCCAGGAAAGCUUCACCCGGACUCCUACGAGAGCCGGGUUCCGCCGCCAAGGUAAACUCCACCCGGACUCCUACGGGAGCCGGGUUCCGCCGCCAGGAAAGCUUCACCCGGACUCCUACGGGAGCCGGGUUCCGCCCCCCUACGGGAGCCGGGUUCCGCCCCCAAGAAAGACUUCGCCCGGGCUCCUAAGAAAGCCGGGCUCCAUCCGCCACUUCGCCAGCAAGGGUUAAAAACGGUGGCGAGACUCGGCCACAUGGCGAGAUCGGAUGGAAGGGAAGAGCCCUCUCCCACGACGACCUCUAAGCCAAACAAGCCAAACAACGAGAAAGGGUCAGCGAACGACAA